rnacentral:tRNA from 1 species
GAGGGUAUAGCUCAGUGUUAGAGGACAUGCUUAGCAUGUAUGAGGUAUGGGGUUCAAUCCCCAGUACCUCCA